UCUCAUGGUACUGGCAUCUGCAA
rnacentral:piRNA from 1 species